UUUUUUUUUUUUUUUUUUUUUUUUUUUAAGAGAUGGGGUCUCAGGGGCCAGGUGCGAUGGCUCACACCUGUAAUUCCAGCACUUUGGGAGGCUGAGGCGAGCGGCUCACCUGAGGUCAGGAGUUCAAGACCAGCCUGGCCAACAUGGUGAAACCCUGUCUCAACUAAAAAUUCAAAAAAUUAGCUGGGCGUGGUGGCGGGUGCCUGUAAUCCCAGCUCCUCAGGAGUCUGAGGCAGGAGAAUUGCUUGAACCCGGGAGGUGGAGGUAGCAGUGAGCCAAAAUUGCACCACUAUACUCCAGCCUGGGCAAUAAGAGCAAAACUCCGUCUCAAAAGAAAAAAAAAACAGAUGGGGUCUCACUGCAGUGAACAUAGCUCACUGCAGCGAUCAUAGCUCACUGCAGCUUCUACCUCCUGGGCUCAAGCCAUCCUCUCACCUCAGCCUCCAGAGUAGCUGGGACUGUAGGCAUGGGCCCAGCUUAUUUUUUAAUUUUUUGUAGAGAUAAAGUAUCACUAUGUUGCCCAGGCUUGUCUUGAACUUCUGGCCUCAAGCGGUCCUCCCACCUCAGCAUCCCAAAGUGCUAGGAUUACAGGUGUGAGCCACUGCACUUGGCUGACUUUAAAAAAGCAAAGUUUCAUAGAGUUUUGGUUUCCAAUUCACAGGGUGGGUGAAAGGAAUAGGAUAUGAGGAGAGUCCCUUAACACAUGGCAGUCCUAACAUCCCACUGAAGACAACUAAAUGGGAGGAGGGGGGUGUGGAAAAUGAAAUUAUUCAAUGUGCUGAUGAGUGGAGAAUGGUUAUGGGGACCUAUUAAGAAACUUGCUAGUCUAGGCAAGAAAUAAGAAAGGUCUAGCCGGGCAUGGUAGUAUCUGGGACUACAGGUGCCCGCCACCUCGCCCGGCUAGUUUUUUGUAUUUUUUUAGUAGAGACGGGGUUUCACUGUGUUAGCCAGGAUGGUCUCGAUCUCCUGACCUCGUGAUCCGCCCGUCUCGGCCUCCCAAAGUGCUGGGAUUACAGGCUUGAGCCACCGCGCCCGGCCAAAGCAAGACUGUCUUUAAAAAAAGAAGAAGAAGAAGAAGGAGCAUUGCUACAGGUUUUAGCAUGAGAUCAAGCCCCUUCCCUGUGCCCCAGAUUUAAGAUGUGUCUCCUCUAGUCCACUCUAUUUGGUGCUGGGAUGAAUCCUUCAUAACAUCCAUGGCUCCUUGAGCCUAACAUUGAGUUACCAAUAAUAGUGAUAAGAAGAUGCCUAUUUUCUGAUUUCCAUUCUUCAACAGACUUUAAAGAUUUUUGUUCAUCUUUUUCACAUCUCUAGGACAGCAGAAAGCAUUUUUCCCUUUGUUUAUAGAGGCUUCAAAGCUUGGAUAGGCCCCCCAAAGGUUUUGUUGAUUCUUCCCUGGGUCACUCAGCUGAUAUAUGACCAAGGACAGGAGAUACUGAGUGUGAGACUGCAUUUUCAUUACCUGACAGCAAAAAGAGAAUUCAUAGGCUGUGGACUUCUGUUUUCUACCCAUCUGUGUACCCAAGAAACCUGUGUACUGAAUGAAACAACUAGAGUUGUGCUGUGGGAUGGGGCAAUUGUAAGGGAAGCAGCCUGGUCAGGUGGGAGGCUGGGAAGCCCCCUAAUAGGGGAGCUUUCUUAAUUUUCUGCCUUGUGUCUUUGCAGCUAUCAGAGGACUCGGAAACCUGGAGAGCUACCUGCUGUAUAAAGGCUGGCCUGAGGGCAUUUGCUGAACACAGAGAAACCCAGGAGAGGAGAUCAGCAGUUUUCUUUCACUCUACUUGAUCUGUCAGAUUUACCCAGAGAAAGCCAGUCAGGAUCCCUUAAGAGUCUUUAGGCCCAGAAUGGAGUCCUCAGGGCUGCAGGGGACUGUGGUGCUAACAAUUAAACUGUUCAAGACUUUAAAGAGUUGAAGGGGACUAAUGGGUAUCCCUAGCAUGGCCUCCUAGAUGGGAAUGAACUGGCAACUCCGACUGUGCCAUUCCCAGUCUAUGUGGUUCCCUUUAGCCUCCCAGAGAAUUGGCUGAAACACCCUACGACCGUUUUGUUUCCCCACUACCACACCUGCGUUACGGGUAUCAGCCUGUGAGUCCUUGAACCCUUCCAGAGGGCUCCCAAACGAGGGUGAUCACUGCCCCUCCAUUGAAGACUGAGGAAAGCCAAGUGAGAAGAUUGUUUAUUUGGGCAAGUUAUUUAACAUCUGAACCUGUUUUUCUCUUCAUUGUUUAUUAUUUACCUUGUCCAAAAAGGUCAUAAAGGGUAGUAGGGCUUUUUCUGUUCCACCUCUGUACUAUAUUUCUCCCCAGCAAGUAUCUGCCCCUGAGGAGCUCAAUAAAGGUUUGGUCAAGUGAUGAAUGGCCCCACUCUGGUAGCUUCUAUCAACUGUGGGAGAGAGCCAAAGCCCCCGUCUAGCUCUCACUUUCCUUCCAGCUAUACUAGGCCAGCUAUUUAUUCUGACAUUUUCUCUUGAAGGAUUGGAAAGUCAGCCUUUGAUAGGCUUCUGGUUUCCUCUGGCCUAUUUCUAGGUUGAUUUAUACUCAGCUUCCUGAGAGGCUAGGGACCUCUGAUACUGCACUCUUCCCUAAUGCCUUCUAGUUAUUUACCCUAACAAAGGAACAAGGGGAAGAACUGAGUUUAGGGAGAGAAUAGAGCUUAUCUGCAUUUUAGCUGUGCCUGGGGCAUUCUAGUGAGCUUGGAUUGGUCCUUAGCAGGAACAGAAGUAUAAUGGAAAGGGAUUCCUUAAAGUCAAUUGAUUUACACUGGGCAAGCUAUUUAACCUCUGAGCCUGUUUCUGUCUUCAUUGUUGAUUACUGUAAAUAACAGCUAAUAAUUUACUUAUUUCUUAGUAUGUACCAGGAAAAUGAGAAAAACUGAGACUCAAGGAGAAUAAAAAAACUUGCCUAUGGUUAGAAAAAGACUUCAUGAUCUA
ensembl:lncRNA